UACAGAGGGGGCAAGCGUUGUUCGGAAUUACUGGGCGUAAAGGGCGCGUAGGCGGCCAUCUAAGUCAGACGUGAAAUCCCCCGGCUUAACCUGGGAACUGCGUCUGAUACUGGACGGCUGGAGUUUGGGAGAGGGAUGUAGAAUUCCAGGUGUAGCGGUGAAAUGCGUAGAUAUCUGGAGGAAUACCGGUGGCGAAGGCGGCAUCCUGGACCGACAUUGACGCUGAGGAGCGAAAGCUAGGGGAGCAAACGGG
rnacentral:rRNA from 1 species